GUCCUCGGGGUUUUUAAUUAUAUAUAAUAAAUAUUGUAAACCCAUGGCAACAAUUUUUGAAACAACCCGAACAGGGUUCCAAAAAUAGUUAAUCUUAAAUUGUCUGUGUGCCGUUGGAUCAUGCAUAGUUACAUUAACGAUGACUGGGGGAGAAACUGUGACAUAAUUAUCAGAUUUAAAAACACGCAUUACUCGUAUUCCGAACAAUCAGCUUUUAGACCAGUGCGAUUUUGUGUACGUUGAGAGGAAGUUUAUCUCAGUCCUGCUCUGUGUAGUCAAACUCAUAUUUCGAUUCUUCAUUUCAUAACUUGUGAUGUGCUAUUUAUCGAAAUUUAAUUAGAAAAGUAUCUAUUUUCCCUUAUUGGUAACUCCUACUUACGCAGGCUUACUGGUUCCAGCUAGUUUCAGGGUGGAUUUUAUUGUAACUUCAAUCCGUGCUGUCUCCAAUUUCCAGGAAAGUCAAGCACUCUUGCGGACAUGGCAGGAAAAGGGGAGAAUCAAGAGCCAGAGAAGAAAGAUAAAAGUGUGCAAACGACUAAAAAUUGGGAAACUCCUCGUAGAAAUUAUGAGCCCGGCAGUAAAAGGAGGAGACUUAGCUCAGGCAAGACCCAAAGUAUUGAACCGCAAGCGACGACGACGACUUCGAUGAAGCACGACGACAUCUUCAACGAGUUCAUGACGGUGAUGAACGACCCGCUCCUGGACCUGAACGACUCCUGCUCGGCGCACAAGGAGCUCAAGCUGGACUUCCACAACUUCCGGCCGCGGCGGGUCAUGGAGCUCCUGGUGGACCGGGCGGCGUCGACCAACACCUCGCCCAAGGAGUUCUUCGAGGAGAUGCGGCGCAUCAUCCUCUCCCGCUUCGGCGAGGGCGAGGGCGAGAGUGACGAGUCGGACACCUCAGUCGACCGGUUAGAGGGCAAGUACAGCAUCGCCGAGACGGGCAACGCCCCUGACGUCAUCACCCCGUCCAGGCUCUGCUUCACGUUCCCGCAGUUCGCGGUGGCCGCCAAGCGCAACUCCAUCGUCCACAAGAUCAGGUCCCUGCAGAUGGAGUACUCCUCCGGGUUCAUUGACAUCCUGCCUCUGUUCUACCUCCCCGAGUUCGGCGGUCUCAUCCCGAGCAGGAACACCCUCGAGAAAGAGGUGUGGGAGGCCCUGAUCACGCUCCACGUCUACGCCAUGUACAAGCUCAACCAGCCGGAGCCGUUCCAGAAUCCGGUCUCCGUCUACGCCCGGCAGAUGCUCCUCAAACGCGGGAUCGCCACGGGUCUCCUCUCAAACGAGCAAAGGCUCUACUACCUCCUCCACAACAAGGUCAUCGUCUCCGACCGGGAGCUCUCUUACAGCGCCGAGAAAGCCUACCGUGAGCUCCUCCAGUCGAAAUCCUCCUUCACCAGGCAGAUCAAUUUCAACCUUAUUGAUUAUUAG
rnacentral:lncRNA from 1 species